GCUCAAUGCCCAAGGGGGUAAAUAGCCGCUGUAUUAUGACGGUGCUAAGGUAGCGAAAUUCCUAGCCUUUUAAUUGGAGGCCUGCAUGAAUGGCUUGACGAGCGCCCUGCUGUCUCUCUUCCCAUGAACUUUUAAAUUAACUUUCGCGUGCAAAGGCGCGAAUGGCUGAGUUAGACGAAAAGACCCUAUGCAUCUUUACUGAGAGAGAAGAAAGUUCUUUAGCUUGGUUUAGCUGGGGCAGCUGAGGAAAAGGCAAAAUUUCCUUAAUAUAAAUCAUACUGGUGGGUUUAGAUCCAGGCUCUUUAGCGGGCUUGACAAGUAGAAAAGUUACGCUAGGGAUAACAGCGUUAUCCUUCUGUGGAGGUCUUAUCUGCAGGAGGGAUUGCGACCUC
rnacentral:rRNA from 1 species